UACGUAGGGCGCAAGCGUUGUCCGGAAUUAUUGGGCGUAAAGGGCUCGUAGGCGGCUUGUCACGUCGGGUGUGAAAGCCCGGGGCUUAACCCCGGGUCUGCAUUCGAUACGGGCUGGCUGGAGUGUGGUAGGGGAGAUCGGAAUUCCUGGUGUAGCGGUGAAAUGCGCAGAUAUCAGGAGGAACACCGGUGGCGAAGGCGGAUCUCUGGGCCAUUACUGACGCUGAGGAGCGAAAGCGUGGGGAGCGAACAGG
rnacentral:rRNA from 1 species